CAUGUAGGGCUGCUUUUAUUAGUUUCUAAACCUACGCGCUGCUUCGGUGGCAAUCCCUUGGUGACUCUGAAUAACUUUUAGUGGAUCGCAUGGCCUUGCGCCGGCGACGUAUCCUUCCAAGGUGUGCCCUAUCAACUUUCGACUGUGGUAUAGACGCCCACAGUCGUUUUGACGGGUAACGGGGAAUUAGGGUUCGAUUCCGGAGAGGGAGCCUGAGAAACGGCUACCACAUCUAAGGAAGGCAGCAGGCACGCAAAUUACCCAAUGGUCGAAGACCGAGGUAGUGACGAAAAAUAACGAUACCGGACUCAUCCGAGGCCCGGUAAUCGGAAUGAGAACACUUUAAAUGCUUUAACGAGGAUCAAUUGGAGGGCAAGUCUGGUGCCAGCAGCCGCGGUAAUUCCUGCUCCAAUAGCGUAUAUUAAAGUUGUUGCGGUUAAAAAGCUCGUAGUUGGAUCUCGGCGGGCAGGGGGUGGUCGUCAAGCAUUGACGCACUGCUCUUCUUUGCCUGCGAUGGAGCUGUCUGUUGCCGGUGCUCUUCAUUGAUUGUCGGCUGGCGGACACCGGGUUUACUUUGAAAAAAUUAGAGUGCUCAAAGCAGGCUAGUCGUCUGAUUAUUCGUGCAUGGAAUAAUAGAAUAGGAGGUUGUUGCUUUUUUGUUGGUUUCGGUAAUGACCUAAUGAUUAAUAGGGACAGUCGGGGGCAUUAGUAAUCAAACGACAGAGGUGAAAUUCUUGGACCGUUUGAAGACUAACUACUGCGAAAGCAUUUGCCAAGAAUGUUUUCAUUAAUGAAGAACGAAAGUUAGAGGUUCGAAGGCGAUCAGAUACCGCCCUAGUUCUAACCAUAAACGAUGCCAGCUAGCGAUCCUUCGACGUUAUUUCAAUUAGGCUCGAGGGGAAGCUUCCGGCAAACCAAAGCUUGUGGGUUCCGGGGGAAGUAUGGUUGCAAAGCUGAAACUUAAAGGAAUUGACGGAAGGGCACCACCAGGAGUGGAGCCUGCGGCUUAUUUUGACUCAACACGGGAAACCUCACCAGGCCCGGACACUGGAAGGAUUGACAGAUUGAGAGCUCUUUCUCGAUUCGGUGGGUGGUGGUGCAUGGCGGUUCUUAGUUGGUGGAGUGAUUUGUCUGGUUAAUUCCGAUAACGAACGAGACUCUGUCCUGCUAAAUAGUCUCUGGGUUUUAGAUUGCCCAGAGUAUUCUUCUUAGAGGGACUGGCGGCGUCUAGCCGCACGAGAAUGAGCAAUAACAGGUCUGUGAUGCCCUUAGAUGUUCUGGGCUGCACACGCGCUUCACUGAAGGGAUCAACGUGUCCUCCCUUCCCGAGAGGGACGGGUAACCCGUUGAACCCCCUUCGUGGUAGGGAUUGGGCCUUGCAAUUAUUCCCCAUGAACCAGGAAUUCCCAGUAAGCGCAAGUCAUAAGGUUGCGUUGAUUACG
rnacentral:rRNA from 1 species